UACAGAGGUCCCAAGCGUUGUUCGGAUUCACUGGGCGUAAAGGGUGCGUAGGCGGUCGGGUAAGUCUGACGUGAAAUCUUCAAGCUCAACUUGGAAACUGCGUCGGAUACUAUUCGGCUAGAGGAAUGGAGGGGAGACUGGAAUACUUGGUGUAGCAGUGAAAUGCGUAGAUAUCAAGUGGAACACCAGUGGCGAAGGCGAGUCUCUGGACAUUUCCUGACGCUGAGGCGCGAAAGCUAGGGUAGCGAACGGG
rnacentral:rRNA from 1 species